CGUCAGCUCGUGUCGUAAGAUGUUGGGUUAAGUCCCGCAAUGAGCGCAACCCUUACGAUUAGUUACUACGAAAGAGGACUCUAAUAGGACUGCCGUUGACAAAACGGAGGAAGGUGGGGAUGACGUCAAAUCAUCAUGCCCUUUAUGACCUGGGCUACACACGUACUACAAUGAUGGUAAACAGAGGGAAGCAAGACCGCGAGGUGGAGCGAACCCCUAAAAGCCAUCUCAGUUCGGAUCGCAGGCUGCAACCCGCCUGC
rnacentral:rRNA from 1 species